ACAAUUAAAAGAGACUUUGGAGAGAUCUACUCAGGAAAAUUUUCUGAAUAGACAAAUGCUUUUAAAGGGGGUUCUAGACAGUCCGUCUUUUCUGCCUCCUUCUGCGAAGUAGGGCUACACUAAAACCUUGUCACAAUGUGACCUGAGCAAAACCAUUAUCAAGUGAUUUAGUUGUCUUGAACCAGACAAAAGAAAAUUGACAUGAUUUCAAGAUAGGUUUAGAAAAAUAAUCUGACUAGCAAAAAAAAAAAAAAAAAUGGGGGGUGGUUCCUAGGGAAUAUGAGACUUGAUAUUUUAGCAAAAAUUUAAAUAUGCUCUUUAUGAUACACACAUUUCUCGUUGCUUUACAAAUUUUAAAUGUAACACAAAUUUGUUUUUCACACUGUUUUGUUAGUUGAGGUAAGGCAUUCCUGCCGCACGCAGCAAUGACUCGUCCUGGAAAACCAGGGAGGCUGCAUAUCCUACUGUUCCUUCUCUACUAGCUGUGGCUCCACACUCUCACCUCCACCAAAGAAAGCAUUUCAGAAUUUAGGGGUGGAAAUGAUGACAACAUUGAAUAAUUCUAUUUUUUUCUUUUUUUUGAGACAGAGCCACUGUCGCUCAGGCUGAAGUGCAGUGGCGCAAUCUAGGCCCACUGCAGCCUCCGCCCCCCGGGGUCAAGCAAUUCUCCUGCCGCAGCCUCCCAAACAGCUGGGACCACCGGUGCCCGCCACCAUGCCCGGCCAAUUUUCCGCAUCCCUAGUAGAGACGGGGUUUCACCAUGUUGGUCAGGCUGAUCUCAAAUUCCUGACCUCAGGAGAUCUGCCUGCCUCGGCCUCCCAAAGUGCUGGGACCACAGGCGUGAGCCACCA
rnacentral:lncRNA from 1 species